rnacentral:rRNA from 1 species
GAUGAACGCUGGCGGCGUGCCUAAUACAUGCAAGUCGAGCGAACGGACGAGAAGCUUGCUUCUCUGAUGUUAGCGGCGGACGGGUGAGUAACACGUGGAUAACCUACCUAUAAGACUGGGAUAACUUCGGGAAACCGGAGCUAAUACCGGAUAAUAUUUUGAACCGCAUGGUUCAAAAGUGAAAGACGGUCUUGCUGUCACUUAUAGAUGGAUCCGCGCUGCAUUAGCUAGUUGGUAAGGUAACGGCUUACCAAGGCAACGAUGCAUAGCCGACCUGAGAGGGUGAUCGGCCACACUGGAACUGAGACACGGUCCAGACUCCUACGGGAGGCAGCAGUAGGGAAUCUUCCGCAAUGGGCGAAAGCCUGACGGAGCAACGCCGCGUGAGUGAUGAAGGUCUUCGGAUCGUAAAACUCUGUUAUUAGGGAAGAACAUAUGUGUAAGUAACUGUGCACAUCUUGACGGUACCUAAUCAGAAAGCCACGGCUAACUACGUGCCAGCAGCCGCGGUAAUACGUAGGUGGCAAGCGUUAUCCGGAAUUAUUGGGCGUAAAGCGCGCGUAGGCGGUUUUUUAAGUCUGAUGUGAAAGCCCACGGCUCAACCGUGGAGGGUCAUUGGAAACUGGAAAACUUGAGUGCAGAAGAGGAAAGUGGAAUUCCAUGUGUAGCGGUGAAAUGCGCAGAGAUAUGGAGGAACACCAGUGGCGAAGGCGACUUUCUGGUCUGUAACUGACGCUGAUGUGCGAAAGCGUGGGGAUCAAACAGGAUUAGAUACCCUGGUAGUCCACGCCGUAAACGAUGAGUGCUAAGUGUUAGGGGGUUUCCGCCCCUUAGUGCUGCAGCUAACGCAUUAAGCACUCCGCCUGGGGAGUACGACCGCAAGGUUGAAACUCAAAGGAAUUGACGGGGACCCGCACAAGCGGUGGAGCAUGUGGUUUAAUUCGAAGCAACGCGAGGAACCUUACCAAAUCUUGACAUCCUUUGACAACUCUAGAGAUAGAGCCUUCCCCUUCGGGGGACAAAGUGACAGGUGGUGCAUGGUUGUCGUCAGCUCGUGUCGUGAGAUGUUGGGUUAAGUCCCGCAACGAGCGCAACCCUUAAGCUUAGUCGCCAUCAUUAAGUUGGGCACUCUAAGUUGACUGCCGGUGACAAACCGGAGGAAGGUGGGGAUGACGUCAAAUCAUCAUGCCCCUUAUGAUUUGGGCUACACACGUGCUACAAUGGACAAUACAAAGGGCAGCGAAACCGCGAGGUCAAGCAAAUCCCAUAAAGUUGUUCUCAGUUCGGAUUGUAGUCUGCAGCUCGACUACAUGAAGCUGGAAUCGCUAGUAAUCGUAGAUCAGCAUGCUACGGUGAAUACGUUCCCGGGUCU